CCUGCGCAAGCACUUCUUCAACCUCUUCUCUGGACUCUGGAAUGUUAAUAACACUUAAUAAUGCCAAAUCGCAAGUACAAACUGUACUUAGAGCCGAAGAGCACAGUUAAAUUUCCCCAUGGAAGACUAAAAAGAGGACAAUUGGAUGUGACAGAAGGUUCGGAAUCACUUACUGACGAUGAUGAGGUG